UGAGAGAGUUUAUAUAUGAUCCAGCUCGAGGGGGCGGGGCUUUGACUAUUCGUGGCUUCUGACUGUUUUCUCACUGGCUCGGAGGCCUUCGUUUUAACUAUACCAUUUAAAACAAAUCCUUUUUUUUUUGCACUUGUUUAAAUUUUAAGGCUUCUAUUUUUAUUGACUUAAAAUUUAUCCUUGGUGUAUCCUUACUAGGCUAUUCAAAACCAUGUUUUUUAUAUAGGCUCCAUUUAAUUUGGAAUAUUUACCAUAAUUGUAGUUUUUGACUUAAACUUUCCUCACAGUAGCUAUAUUUCAAAAUUCGUUUCCAGCCAAUUAAUGAGUGUUAAUUUGAGACUGACAUUGAACCCACAGAGGAACUUGACACCGUUUUAGAAGCACCGAAAACAAAACAAUUAACGAGUCCUCCAGGCUGACCCGAGAACGGUUUUAUCUAAAUACACUGGAGCUCCACUGAACUUGGCAACCCAAAUAAUUAACAAACGAUUAACGAGGAAACCAAACUCACCACAGACUGUCAGGAAACACCGCCAUGCCUUGAGUUUCUCUUGUAGCGGGGGUUAAAGUUGAACCCUCUCCGGCUCAGUGUGUUUGGGCGUCUACAUGGCACGGACAGGAGAUUGUUUUCGGCGUGCACGAGUUCGGCGGAGCCAUCGACCGGCCGGGGCGCAGGAUGGCAGGUGCUAAAAGUUUGACAGCGCAGGCCAGAGAUACAUGUUUUGAAGAGAGAGUGAUGCGCGUGUGUGUGUGUGUUGGCAUCUGCACUGGAAACAGUGCUAUUUUAGUAUUUUUUUUCUGACACAUUCUGUUAUAUUUUUUUUUUCUAUUAUAUAAGUUUUUUUUUUUUUAAAUCUAGUAUUUUUUUUUAUUAUUAUUUGAUUUUAGCUUUAUUUUAACUAAUAAAAAUGUUUGUAAUAUUUGUAGUUUUAGUUGAAGUUAAUAAUAACCUUGACUGGUACUAAGACUCGAUUAAAUAUUGUUUACUGCAUAAACACUGAUUAUAUAUGACUUUUGAGCAGAGUUUGAGACGUUGUUGAGAUCUCCUCUGUAACUCUGGAGGAGAAACAUCUGACAUGCUGGAGACUUUCUCACUCUAUCAUUAAAAGAUUUUGUUUCAACAUUGUCAUAUAGAACNAGAUAGAGAUAGAUAUAUAAAACUGAAGAUGAAUAAAAAAAUAUAAACAUUUAAAAAACUAUUUUAGAAAGAACACAACAAAAUUACUAAAACUUUACCCAAAAUUAAAAUGUAAACUGAAAAUGUAAAAAUGAAAAACAAUUUAUACUAUUAAAUAACUAAAAUAGUAUCAGUGAUACAAAAAAAAAACACUAAUCUGAAAAAAGUUGAGCACUUUGCAUUGUGGGAUACAGUAUUCAGUGAAUGCAGUAGUUUCCGUGAUGAAUCAAAACAUACUUUGCACUGUGUGCAUACUAAAUACUGCAGAAACAGUAACAGUAGAUGCUAUUCUGAAAUCAGUCUUUGAGAUUGAGUCUGUGUGAGUGUGUUUUGAGAGUAGCAUGCUAAUUGGCUGAGAUUAUUCACCGGUAUACUCACGGUGCGUGUGUGUGUGUGUGUGUGCACUUUGGAGGGUCAUGCGGUGACUCCCGUGUGCGCACCGGCAGCGGCCCGCGAGUGCUGUUACUCAGGAACAAGCAGGGCUUUUAUCACAUCUCCAGCUCUGACUCAGAAACUGCAUUUCGCC
ensembl:lncRNA